UUCCAGACUCCUACGGGAGGCAGCAGUGAGGAAUAUUGGUCAAUGGGCGAGGGCCUGAACCAGUCAAGUCGCGUGAGGGAUGACUGCCCUAUGGGUUGUAAACCUCUUUUGUAUGGGGGGAAUAAGCUUUACGAGUAGAGUGAUGACAGUACCAUACGAAUAAGCAUCGGCUAACUCCGUGCCAGCAGCCGCGGUAAUACGGAGGAUGCGAGCGUUAUCCGGAUUUAUUGGGUUUAAAGGGUGCGUAGGCGGCAUUAUAAGUUAGUGGUAAAAUAUUGGGGCUUCACCUCACUACGCCAUUAAUACUGUAAGACUCGAGUUCAGACGAGGUAGGCGGAAUAAGUUAAGUAGCGGUGAAAUGCUUAGAUAUAACUUAGAACUCCGAUAGCGAAGGCAGCUUACCAGACUGCGACUGACGCUGAAGCACGAGAGCGUGGGCAGCGAACAGGAUUAGAUACCCCUGUAU
rnacentral:rRNA from 1 species